rnacentral:misc_RNA from 1 species
AUCAGAUUGCGGCAUAUAGUCAGAAAUGUAUCGUGCAUCUCUGGUGAGGCAACGAUACAUACAAAAACAACAUAGACAGAAAGUUUUGCGUAAAAUCUUUAGAGUUAAAUGUUUUUUGCUGUAACGUUGCAGAUUCUCGUCUGGUAAUGUGUUUGUUCUGUAGUUUCCCUUAAAUGGGAUUUUCCUUUUUUUCAUUUGGAUGUAAGGGAGGUUGUUGAUUUAGUGUGAUACAUUUUAGGGAUACCCAUCUAGG